rnacentral:rRNA from 1 species
UACAGAGGGGGCAAGCGUUGUUCGGAAUUACUGGGCGUAAAGGGCGCGUAGGCGGCCUGCUAAGUCGAACGUGAAAUCCCCGGGCUCAACCCGGGAACUGCGUCCGAUACUGGCAGGCUUGAGUCCGGGAGAGGGAUGCGGAAUUCCAGGUGUAGCGGUGAAAUGCGUAGAUAUCUGGAGGAACACCGGUGGCGAAGGCGGCAUCCUGGACCGGCAUUGACGCUGAGGCGCGAAAGCCAGGGGAGCAAACGGG